AUUGAACGCUGGUGGCAGGCCUAACACAUGCAAGUCGAACGGUAGCACAGAGAGCUUGCUCUCGGGUGACGAGUGGCGGACGGGUGAGUAAUGUCUGGGAAACUGCCUGAUGGAGGGGGAUAACUACUGGAAACGGUAGCUAAUACCGCAUAACGUCGCAAGACCAAAGAGGGGGACCUUCGGGCCUCUUGCCAUCAGAUGUGCCCAGAUGGGAUUAGCUAGUAGGUGGGGUAACGGCUCACCUAGGCGACGAUCCCUAGCUGGUCGGAGAGGAUGACCAGCCACACUGGAACUGAGACACGGUCCAGACUCCUACGGGAGGCAGCAGUGGGGAAUAUUGCACAAUGGGCGCAAGCCUGAUGCAGCCAUGCCGCGUGUAUGAAGAAGGCCUUCGGGUUGUAAAGUACUUUCAGCGGGGAGGAAGGUGUUGUGGUUAAUAACCACAGCAAUUGACGUUACCCGCAGAAGAAGCACCGGCUAACUCCGUGCCAGCCGCCGCCGUAA
rnacentral:rRNA from 1 species